CGGCAGCGCGGGGCAACCUGGCGGCGAGUGGCGAACGGGUGAGUAAUAUAUCGGAACGUACCCUGGAGUGGGGGAUAACGUAGCGAAAGUUACGCUAAUACCGCAUACGAUCUAAGGAUGAAAGUGGGGGAUCGCAAGACCUCAUGCUCCUGGAGCGGCCGAUAUCUGAUUAGCUAGUUGGUGGGGUAAAGGCCUACCAAGGCAUCGAUCAGUAGCUGGUCUGAGAGGACGACCAGCCACACUGGAACUGAGACACGGUCCAGACUCCUACGGGAGGCAGCAGUGGGGAAUUUUGGACAAUGGGCGAAAGCCUGAUCCAGCAAUGCCGCGUGAGUGAAGAAGGCCUUCGGGUUGUAAAGCUCUUUUGUCAGGGAAGAAACGGUGCGUUCUAAUACAGCCUGCUAAUGACGGUACCUGAAGAAUAAGCACCGGCUAACUACGUGCCAGCAGCCGCGGUAAUACGUAGGGUGCAAGCGUUAAUCGGAAUUACUGGGCGUAAAGCGUGCGCAGGCGGUUUUGUAAGUCUGUCGUGAAAUCCCCGGGCUCAACCUGGGAAUGGCGAUGGAGACUGCAAGGCUAGAGUUUGGCAGAGGGGGGUAGAAUUCCACGUGUAGCAGUGAAAUGCGUAGAUAUGUGGAGGAACACCGAUGGCGAAGGCAGCCCCCUGGGUCAAGACUGACGCUCAUGCACGAAAGCGUGGGGAGCAAACAGGAUUAGAUACCCUGGUAGUCCACGCCCUAAACGAUGUCUACUAGUUGUCGGGUCUUAAUUGACUUGGUAACGCAGCUAACGCGUGAAGUAGACCGCCUGGGGAGUACGGUCGCAAGAUUAAAACUCACAGGAAUUGACGGGGACCCGCACAAGCGGUGGAUGAUGUGGAUUAAUUCGAUGCAACGCGAAAAACCUUACCUACCCUUGACAUGGCUGGAAUC
rnacentral:rRNA from 1 species